CCACCCCUACUAUCAAACGUAGUGCCUCAUCAGCCAGGGGCAGGUAAGGGAAAGUAGAAGUCAUCCCAUGUCAAUAAUAACCUCAUCAGCCAGGGACAGGUAAGGGAAAGUAGAAGUCAUCCCACGUAACCUCAUCAGCCAGGGACAGGUAAGGGAAAGUAGAAGUCAUCCCACGUCCAUAAUAACCUCAUCAGCCAGGGGCAGGUAAGGGAAAGUAGAAGUCAUCCCACGUCAAUAGUAACCUCAUCAGCCAGGGGCAGGAAAGGGAAAGUAGAAGUCAUCCCACGUCAAUAAUAACCUCAUCAGCCAGGGACAGGUAAGGGAAAGUAGAAGUCAUCCCACGUAACCUCAUCAGCCAGGGACAGGUAAGGGAAAGUAGAAGUCAUCCCACGUCAAUAGUAACCUCAUCAGCCAGGGGCAGGUAAGGGAAAGUAGAAGUCAUCCCACGUCAAUAAUAACCUCAUCAGCCAGGGGCAGGUAAGGGAAAGUAGAAGUCAUCCCACGUCAAUAGUAACCUCAUCAGCCAGGGGCAGGUAAGGGAAAGUAGAAGUCAUCCCACGUCAAUAGUAACCUCAUCAGCCAGGGACAGGUAAGGGAAAGUAGAAGUCAUCCCACGUCAAUAAUAAACCUCAUCAGCCAGGGACAGGUAAGGGAAAGUAGAAGUCAUCCCACGUAACCUCAUCAGCCAGGGGCAGGUAAGGGAAAGUAGAAGUCAUCCCACGUCAAUAAUAACCUCAUCAGCCAGGGACAGGUAAGGGAAUGUAGAAGUCAUCCCACGUCAAUAAUAACCUCAUCAGCCAGGGACAGGUAAGGGAAAGUAGAAGUCAUCCCACGUCAAUAGUAACAGAGAGAAUGUAGUAUUUAACAAUCAAAUCACUUUAUUAGCUCAUUCAUUCUUACAAGCAAAUAAAAUAGCAAGGGUUCUGCAACGUAGACCAGGGGUGUCGAACUCCUUUUACCCCG